UGCUGAGGCUUAGCUGGGAGAGCAUUGCGCUAGCGACGCAAAAGUCAUGGGUUCAAACCCCAAGGGAA